UACGAAGGGGGCUAGCGUUGUUCGGAAUUACUGGGCGUAAAGCGUUUGUAGGCGGUUAUACAAGUCAGUGGUGAAAGCCCAGGGCUUAACCCUGGAAUUGCCAUUGAAACUGUAUAGCUAGAGAAUGUUAGAGGAAAGUGGAAUUCCUAGUGUAGGAGUGAAAUCCGUAGAGAUUAGGAGGAAUAUCGAUGGCGAAGGCAGCUUUCUGGGACAUUUCUGACGCUGAGAAACGAAAGCGUGGGUAGCAAACAGG
rnacentral:rRNA from 1 species